rnacentral:misc_RNA from 1 species
AGCGAGUAUAACUCUCUAAACCAUUGUGAACGAACGAACCGUUGCUUCGGCGGACGGCUCUGCUGCGCCGGUAAGAACGCAAACUCUUGGUUAUUAUUGUUUCUCUGAGUAUUUACCCGAUGUCAAUAAGUAA